GAGGAGAGGAGAGGAAAGGAAAAAGAAACAGCUAAAAGCAGUUAGGUGCUAGAGCCAGCAUAUAUCAGCUUUCCUAGCCAAUUAUGUGCAAGUCUCCCCAACUCCUCCUUCUGUGAUGUCACAUUGAUAACUUGAAAUUGGACAUGGUGAAAAUAGUCGCACAAUGGAAACUGAUGAACGCUACAGAUCAGAGCUUUCCCCCACCCACCUCAGUGGGAACAGUGGGAGCAUGUUACAACACCUGCUCACUGAAGCCUUUUUGUAGUAGAGAAGCAAGUAGAAUGAGGAAGCAGCCGCAUCCAGAAGCUGUAAAGGCCACUGAUGAUGCCUGGAGUCAUCAGGUUUAUAUUUAAAACAAAACAACACCGAUGAUCACAUACAUGGUUUAGAAUUUCAGUGAAGUUUUUUAUCAAAUAAUUCUACUACAAUAAUGCAGAAUCUGGGCCUGCUGGUUGAAUAUUAUCUGAAGGGAUGAGGAUGCCAUGUGCUGCUCUCAGUGAUGUGUCUGGACUCUGAAUUUGAGAGGCCCCAGUGAACAGCCAUACCAUGCUACAUUGCAACCAGGAAUCAUAGUCAUCUAUCAUUGGAGGUGGACAGAGAUGAUCAUGCUUUAUAUUGGCAAAUCCCAAAUCUAGACAAUUCUUGCUCCAGAAGAGGAAAAUGAAAAGACACAUAAUGGCUUCAGUUUAUCUCUUGAGUUCAUGUGUUGAGGAAGUGGGUCUAUUUGGGGAAUGGGACAUCAUGCUAAGAGCAGUUUUGAGAGCUCAGAAGCAAAUCCAGGUGCUAAGCCAAGGAGCCAGUUUCCAAGACUGAUGACAGCCCGUCUUCCCAAUGCAGGCUUUGACCCAGAUGCCCCAACAAAAUAUACCCUUUCCUUUCUGCCUGUUUUGAGUUGAAUUGUGUCCUGCAAGAAGAUACGUUGAAGGCCUCACACCCAGGACCAUAGUGUGUCACCUUAUUCAGAAAUAGGGUUGUUGCAGAUAUAAUUAAUUAAGAUGAGAUCAUCCUGAAAUAAGAUGAGCCUUUAAUCCAAAAUAACUGGUCCUUAGAAGAGAUGAUAUGAAGUCACAGGAAGAGAUCACUGUGUGAAGAGACAGAACUGGAGACUGUCACGUGAUGAUAGACAGAGGCAGAGAUAGGAAUAAUGAACCUGCAAGACAAGAAAUACCAAGAAUUGCCAGCCACCCUCAAAAACUGUGGGCAGGCAAGGAAGAAUUUUACCCAGAGAGGUCAUGGUCCUGCCAACACCUUGAUUUUGAACUUCUAACCUCCAGAACUAUGACUGAAUACAUUUCUGUUGUUCUAACAGAACAACCUGCCUUUGCUAAGGCAGCCCCAAGAAAGUAAUAAACUGCCUGCAAUGCUUAAGCAAACUGGC